GUUAUCCUUGCAGCAGCGAUACCCAACAUAGGCCUUUUUAUUUCACUAGUUGGUGCUAUGUCCUCAUCCACUCUGGCUAUUAUUUUCCCUCCUAUCAUCGAGCUUGUUACAUUUUGGCCAAGGGUAUCUAAGCUGACAAUUAUAAAGUGCUUUGUCAUUAUGAGCUUCGGCAUCUUGUGCUUUGUUAUUGGAUCCUAUGCCAGCAUAAUGGCUAUUGUUGAGUACUUCCAGAGUGCAGAUGAACCAAAGCCAGAGUUUAUAUGUUAGAGGCAUAAGUUUCUACUGUAUAUUUUCAGUAAGAUGGAACUUCCAUGUUUUUUUAUUAUUUUAGAGAAUUUGCUUUUAAACAGUAUGUAUAUUUGUGUGAAUAUGCAAUAUAUUACAGAAAAAUAAAUAGUAUUAUAGAGAUUCUGUAACAAUACAAAUGAAAAGUACAAUUUGUCUUUUCCCCAUAUAAUGAGAAAAAAAUCUCUCUCAGUAACAUUGAUGAAGUCUCUUUCUUGUGAAUAGUGCAAAGAGUAGUUUUCAGAGUUCAUUUCCUUCACUUUCUCAGGAUAUUGUAUUACAGUAAAAGGAAAAAUGAUAGAAUAAGUGUUCAGUUAGUUUAGAUUGUUUUUUAUAUAUCAUGGAUUUACUCAUCAUAUGAGAAUGUAUGCAGCAUUUUUCACAGAAUAUUGGGAACUGUGAAUUUAUGAGUGCAGAUUUUAUGUUUUUUGAAAUAAUUUUGCUUAAAGGCAGAUUUAGAGAAAUUUGAAAAGGUACUGGUAGUUAGUCUGCUAUAUUUUGAAAUCCUCUUUUGGGGGGAUAUCAGCUUUUCAAUUUUAAGAAUAUAGAUAAUAUAAUAUGUAUAUAUAUUUUUUUUUCAAAUUUCUCUCAUUUUGAUGUAGCAUACUUUUAAUCCAUUUUAAAUCUGUCAUGAAUAGGGUUUUGCAGUGUAUAGCAUACACUGAAGUUGCCUUAUAAUUUUAGUUGAUAACUGCACUGGCUUUUUCUUAUAUGCUCUUUCUUAUAAGUCUUUCCGGUGAUCAACAUUUUCUAACCAGUAAUGAAUUGUAAAGUAAUUAUAGAUCUUUUAGAAGACUAUGUAAAAGAUUCCUUGUCUAUCCAUAUUAUUUUUUAUAUGAGCAGAUUCUCAUAAACAUCCAAAGAAAAAUAUAAGUGUAGGCACACACAAAAAUGCAUGUGAAACAAAUACAGACAUUCAUUCUUUCACAUGUAAUUGUUCAUUCACACAUAAACAUCAGGAAAGCUCAUUACUGAUUCUAACCAACAUUGUUCAUACUUUCAUUGCCAUAUAAUGGAUUGUAUAAUCUAGCUAUGUAAGAAGUAUAUUUUGUGCAUAUAUUUAGUUCAUGUUUCAUCUGUAGUAUUUAUUUGUAGAUGAACAAAUGCAUUAGGGAUGUAGAAAUGUUUUUGAAAUUGUUAUUGAAUCAUUCACUAUACAUCCCCCAUCUUUGUUAAUUCUUUUCUAUCUCUCCCACAUGUCACACAAAGAAUCUCAUUGUUUUUUGUAAGUUUCUUUAUAUCAUUUUACUUGGCAUUUGUUAUUUAUUUUUAUUUUUUCAACCUAAUGAGUAUUAUUGUCAUGUUCGUUGUCAGUCAUUUCAUUCUUUGCAUGUGGUUUUGGUUGAGUAUAUUUCACUCAUACCUUCAGAGCUUUUUUUUUGUACUUCAGGUAAUACAUGAUUUUGGUUUCUUUAUACAAGUGCAAUAAGCAUUCUUUUAGAAUAAUCACAGCAGAAGAAGUUUAAUUUACAGUUAUAAUACUUUAGCCACUUAAAAACUUUCAUAUGUGAAUUUUUAUUUUAGUGUGUCUUUGAUUUUUACUCUUAAAUGGGGUGAGGUGAUGGGUUGGUUGCAUCUGAGGGGAACUUUUUUCAUUAAACUUGGACAUCAUCAAGUUUUUUUAUAUCAGACUCUAUUACUUAACUGUCUCAAUGUAUGUAUAUAUGUCUGUGAGGCAUAGUGGUUGUGAUGAAUAGAUUGAGUUUGAGUGUUUGUAAAAGGCAAUAAAAUGUUAUUUUUUCCUCUUUUUGUUAUCAUAAUGAUUAUAAGUGAUACUACUUUUUUGUUCAGUUAUUAUUUUUUUCUUAUGAUAAUAGGUAAUCAUGUUGAUUAACAUCUCAAGGAAGGUUUUAAUUAUAUGUGGCCAAUUCUUC